AUACAGAGGGGGCGAGCGUUGUUCGGAAUUACUGGGCGUAAAGGGCGCGUAGGCGGCCCGCUAAGUCGAACGUGAAAUCCCCAGGCUCAACCUGGGAACUGCGUCCGAUACUGGCAGGCUUGAAUCCGGGAGAGGGAUGUGGAAUUCCAGGUGUAGCGGUGAAAUGCGUAGAUAUCUGGAGGAACACCGGUGGCGAAGGCGGCAUCCUGGACCGGUAUUGACGCUGAGGCGCGAAAGCUAGGGGAGCAAACGGGAUUAGAUACCCCGGUAGUCCUAGCCCUAAACGAUGAAUGCUUGGUGUGGCGGGUAUCGAUCCCUGCCGUGCCGAAGCUAACGCAUUAAGCAUUCCGCCUGGGGAGUACGGUCGCAAGGCUGAAACUUAAAUGAAUUGGCGGGG
rnacentral:rRNA from 1 species